GGGGAAUAUUGCGCAAUGGGCGGAAGCCUGACGCAGCGACGCCGCGUGGGGGAUGACGGCCUUCGGGUUGUAAACCUCUUUCAGCAGGGACGAAGUUGACGUGUACCUGCAGAAGAAGCGCCGGCUAACUACGUGCCAGCAGCCGCGGUAAUACGUAGGGCGCAAGCGUUGUCCGGAAUUAUUGGGCGUAAAGAGCUCGUAGGUGGCUGGUCGCGUCUGCCGUGAAAGCCCGCAGCUUAACUGCGGGUCUGCGGUGGAUACGGGCCGGCUAGAGGUAGGUAGGGGCAAGUGGAAUUCCUGGUGUAGCGGUGAAAUGCGCAGAUAUCAGGAGGAACACCGGUGGCGAAGGCGGCUUGCUGGGCCUUACCUGACGCUGAGGAGCGAAAGCGUGGGGAGCGAAC
rnacentral:rRNA from 1 species